GGGAAUGUGGCUUAGUGGUAAAAGUGCUUGCCUUGUGUGCAUAAAGCCCUGGGAUCGAUUCCUCAAUACCA
rfam:Dipodomys ordii contig_25658, whole genome shotgun sequence.